UCUUUGCUAAUUGGUAUCCUCUCUUUUGCUAUCAUAAACUUCCCAGCGAGCCCUGCAAUGGAGUAAAAAUUGUAGCAUUCCACCUAAGCAUUUUCUUCUGGGGGAUAGAUCUUGAAGAUUAGCUUCAAGAUAUAAAGAUGGGUUAUUUAGUUGUGUACUACGUGGGAUUGUGUAUAUGGUUGUCUUUGUUUAGUUAUAGCUCCAUUUUCGUGUACUCUGAGAUUGUAAAAGACACUGGAACAUCCCAAGGCUUUGUAUUUGUAGAUGGGAUUAGUGCCAUUGGAGAAAUAGAUGACGAUUUCAUUUGUGCCACCUUGGAUUGGUAGCCACCUGAGAAAUGUGACUAUGGAACCUGUAGCUGGGACCAUGCUUCCCUUCUCAUUCUGGAUCUUAACAACAUAAUUUUAUUAAAUGCAGUAAAAGCUUUUUCGCCAUUAAAGAUUAGACUUGGGGGCACCCUGCAAGAUAAUGUCAUAUAUCAAACUCAGAGCAAUCAAUGCUGCCAUUC